rnacentral:piRNA from 1 species
UNGUUUACUUUGGGUGCAUAGUUAUUAU